rnacentral:rRNA from 1 species
GACGAACGCUGGCGGCGUGCUUAACACAUGCAAGUCGAACGGAAAGGCCCUGCUUUGGUGGGGUGCUCGAGUGGCGAACGGGUGAGUAACACGUGAGUAACCUGCCCUUGACUUUGGGAUAACUUCAGGAAACUGGGGCUAAUACCGGAUAGGAGCUCCGGCUGCAUGGUGGGGGUUGGAAAGUUUCGGCGGUUGGGGAUGGACUCGCGGCUUAUCAGCUUGUUGGUGGGGUAGUGGCUUACCAAGGCUUUGACGGGUAGCCGGCCUGAGAGGGUGAACGGCCACAUUGGGACUGAGAUACGGCCCAGACUCCUACGGGAGGCAGCAGUGGGGAAUAUUGCACAAUGGGCGGAAGCCUGAUGCAGCAACGCCGCGUGCGGGAUGACGGCCUUCGGGUUGUAAACCGCUUUCGCUAGUGACGAAGCGUGAGUGACGGUAAUGGGUAAAGAAGCACCGGCUAACUACGUG